AUUGAACGCUGGCGGCAUGCUUUACACAUGCAAGUCGAACGGUAACAGGUUAAGCUGACGAGUGGCGAACGGGUGAGUAAUGCAUCGGAACGUGCCCGAUCGUGGGGGAUAACGCAGAGAAAGCUGCGCUAAUACCGCAUACGAUCUGAGGAUGACAGCGGGGGACCGGAAGGCCUCGCGCGAUCGGAGCGGCCGAUGUCAGAUUAGGUAGUUGGUAGGGUAAAGGCUCACCAAGCCGACGAUCUGUAGCUGGUCUGAGAGGACGACCAGCCACACUGGGACUGAGACACGGCCCAGACUCCUACGGGAGGCAGCAGUGGGGAAUUUUGGACAAUGGGCGAAAGCCUGAUCCAGCAAUGCCGCGUGCAGGAAGAAGGCCUUCGGGUUGUAAACUGCUUUUGUACGGAGCGAAAAGGCUCUCUCUAAUACAGGGGGCUCAUGACGGUACCGUAAGAAUAAGCACCGGCUAACUACGUGCCAGCCGCCGCGGUAA
rnacentral:rRNA from 1 species